UACGGGGGGGGCAAGCGUUAUUCGGAAUUAUUGGGCGUAAAGGGCGCGUAGGCGGCUAGAUGUGUCAAAGGUGAAAUCCCUCGGCUCAACUGAGGAACUGCCUUUGAAACUGUCUGGCUUGAGGCCGGGAGAGGGUAGCGGAAUUCCCAGUGUAGCGGUGAAAUGCGUAGAUAUUGGGAGGAACACCAGUGGCGAAGGCGGCUACCUGGACCGGUUCUGACGCUGAGGCGCGAAAGCGUGGGGAGCAAACAGG
rnacentral:rRNA from 1 species